AUUGAACGCUGGCGGCAGGCCUAACACAUGCAAGUCGAACGGUAACAGGAAGCAGCUUGCUGCUUUGCUGACGAGUGGCGGACGGGUGAGUAAUGUCUGGGAAACUGCCUGAUGGAGGGGGAUAACUACUGGAAACGGUAGCUAAUACCGCAUAACGUCGCAAGACCAAAGAGGGGGACCUUCGGGCCUCUUGCCAUUGGAUGUGCCCAGAUGGGAUUAGCUAGUAGGUGGGGUAACGGCUCACCUAGGCGACGAUCCCUAGCUGGUCUGAGAGGAUGACCAGCCACACUGGAACUGAGACACGGUCCAGACUCCUACGGGAGGCAGCAGUGGGGAAUAUUGCACAAUGGGCGCAAGCCUGAUGCAGCCAUGCCGCGUGUAUGAAGAAGGCCUUCGGGUUGUAAAGUACUUUCAGCGGGGAGGAAGGUGUUGAGGUUAAUAACCACAGCAAUUGACGUUACCCGCAGAAGAAGCACCGGCUAACUCCGUGCCAGCAGCCGCCGUAA
rnacentral:rRNA from 1 species